AGCUUUUCUCAAUGGCAGUAUCGUAGCCAUUGAGGAUUAGCUGAGGCACAAUUAUUACCAGUUGGAACAUGGGUUUAACGGUAUCCUCAGAAAGUGAAACAAAAGGUUUGAAGAUUCUGAUAAACAGAA
rnacentral:snRNA from 1 species